rnacentral:rRNA from 1 species
CCCUUAGAUGUUCUGGGCCGCACGCGCGCUACACUGACGGAGGCAGCGAGCAUGUCCUUCGCCGAGAGGUGUGGGGAAUCUUGUGAGUCUCCGUCGUGCUGGGGAUAGAUGGUUGCAAUUGUCGAUCUUGAACGAGGAAUUCCUAGUAAGCGCGAGUCAUCAGCUCGCGCUGAUUACGUCCCUGCCCUUUGUACACACCGCCCGUCGCUACUACCGAUUGAAUCGUUUAGCGAGAAUUUUGGAUCGGAACCCUGGUGGGCAGCGAUGUCCGCCUGGGAUUUACCGAGAAAUCAUUCCAGCUUGCCGAUUUAGAGGAAGUAAAAGUCGUAACA